CAGCGGAAACACCAAGACGCAUCUGUACAAAAUGUCCAACAAGACAAUGGCCUCUGCGGCCGGUAGCUCAGCGACUUCACCGCUGCCGGUCAUGCCGCCUGCGCUUCGCCAGCUGAUCAUCGCAGUGGAGCGGCUGAACGCUGCCUCUACUUCGCCUUCGGAUGUCGACACCGUUUCAUCUCUAGGGCGGUCGGCAAGGGAGCUCCCAGAGCAGUCCACCUCAGAUCCGCCGGCAGAUAACACUGUCGCACCCACGGUAGAGCUGCUGCGGCAGGUGGAUGCGCUGCAGGAACACUACAGGCGCCUUUUGGAGCUGGCAGAGCAGCCGUACAGCACACAAAAUGCGGCCCACGCUGAGUCACCAUCGGACGGCAGCAGCGACACUGUUGAGGCGCAGGCGGAGAGUCUCAUGACAGAAUUUGAGGCCGCCAUUGUGCAGCUGCAGCGGGGCAUCCGCUCGAAGCAAGCGCAGGCCAUUCGCCUCGUGUUGCUCAACGCGCUGCGGCGCGAAGCCGCUGAGCGGCGCCAGUGCGUGGCGAAGAUGGAAGGUGUCCUGAGCGCCUCCCAUCAGUACGUGCGUCUGUGACGUAGUGCACACCCGCAGGUUCGUGCAUGAUUAAGCGUAUGCUGUUGUGUGCGCAUGAAGAGAAAGAAAGAGGUCCGUCUCUCACGCAAGCACUGAGAAAUGCGGCUCGUUGUUAUUUAGACACCGCCGUGCACCCUCGAUCCCGCGCCUCUUCGCCAUGUCUCGUUGUUCAGCGUCCUCCGUCAUCCCUUUUCGUGCGGCCUUCCACCACCACCACCAUCACCGCCCGCUUCCUCACGUUGGCGGGUGGUGAGGAGGCGCGGCGGCCCCGCAAGGCGAGAUGCUGCCAACAGGAAAAUCACUCUUUUAUGGCCGCUGCCGAGCGAGAGAAGACGCAGGUCACUGUGUCUUGUAAAGCGCGCUCACA
rnacentral:misc_RNA from 1 species